rnacentral:misc_RNA from 1 species
GAUGAAGAACGUAGCGAAAUGCGAUAAGUAGUGUGAAUUGCAGAAUUCAGUGAAUCAUCGAAUCUUUGAACGCACAUUGCGCCCUUUGGUAUUCCUUAGGGCAUGUCUGUUCGAGCGUCAUUUAAACCUUCAAGCUAAGCUUGGUGUUGGGUGACUGUCCGCUUCACGGCGGACUCGCCUCAAAAUUAUUGGCGGCCGGUACAUUGGCUUCGAGCGCAGCAGAAACGCGAACUCGGGCCCGUCGUAUUGGCUCCCAGAAGCUAUCUUCACAAUUUUGAACUCGGAUCAGGUAGGGAUACCCGCUGAACUUAAGCAUAUCAAUAAGCGGAGGA